rnacentral:rRNA from 1 species
GUCGGUUGUCACAUGACAGCCUGUCUGAAGUCGGGGGACCGCAAGGCCUGACACUUGGAGAUGAGCUCGCGUCCUAUCAGCUAGUUGGUGAGGUAACGGCUCACCAAGGCUUACGGGUAGCUGGUCUGAGAGGAUGGUCAGCCACACUGGGACUGAGACACUGCCCAGACUCCUACGGGAGGCUGCAGUCGAGAAUCUUUCGCAAUGGGCGCAAGCCUGACGAAGCGACGCCGCGUGCAGGAUGAAGGUCUUCGGAUUGUAAACUGCUGUCUUUUGGGAGCAAGGAACCGUCAUUAACACCGGCGGAACUUGAUAGUACCGAAGGAGGAAGCCACGGCUAACUCUGUGCCAGCAGCCGCGGUAAUACAGAGGUGGCAAGCGUUGUUCGGAUUUACUGGGCGUAAGGGUGCGUAGGCGGUUCUGCGUGUCGGGUGUGAAAUCCCACGGAUUAUCUGUGGAACGGCAUUCGAAACUGCAGGGCUUGAGUGCAGGAGAGGAGAGG